ensembl:snRNA
GUACUGAUUGAAAAGAAAGAAAUUAGCAAUGUACCUGAAAGGAAAGGGAAGAUAAUUAAAUGUUUCAAUACUCAUUAUGUGCCAGGCACAUUCUCAAAUACUUUACAUAUUUUAUCU